rnacentral:misc_RNA from 1 species
GGGGAAGAUUUCUUUUUUCACAUUAUUGUUAGUGCCUCUUUUUGGUGCAUCUUCUUUUUUCACUUGCAAAAUAGUGCAUUAAACAAACGAAUAAGAAUCAGAGUAUAAAAUAGACCUAAGCUUGUCAGGAAUCGAAGCUAACCAAUUUUAAGACAAUUUGCCUGACAAGAACAACCUAACUAAGAAAUCAGCAACUCUAUUAGUGCUUAUCAUGACCAAGGAAAACAACACAUUAUAGAAGUGAAGAAG